GGUGGUACCCUUACAGCUCAUUGAAAUAAUGCUUCAUUCCUCCUGAAAAGUGAUGAAAUUAAAAGCUAUUUUAUCAGGUAUACUUGCAUGCCUUUGGUAUGUCAUAGAAUAAAGCAUAGAAGCUGUGAAAAGAGAUGAAUUAUUGCUUAUUCUACAAAUAUAUUCUAAAAUGGCCUGGACACAUUUGUUGGUACCCCUUAGAAAAGAUAAUAAAUAAUUGGAUUAUAGAGAUAUUUCAAACUAAUUAGUUUCUUUAAUUAGUAUCACACAUGUCUCCAAUCUUGUAAUCAGUCAUUCAGCCUAUUUAAAUGGAGAAAAGUAGUCUAUGUGCUGUUUGGUAUCAUUGGGUGCACCACACUGAACAUGGACCAAAGAAAGCAAAGGAGAGAGUUGUCUGAGGAGAUCUGAAAGAAAAUAAUUGACAAGCAUGGUAAAGGUAAAGGCUACAAGACCAUCUCCAAGCAGCUUGAUGUUCCUGUGACAACAGUUGUAAAUAUUAUUAAGAAGUUUAAGGUCCAUGCAACUGUAGCCAACCUCCCUGGGGGCGGCCGCAAGAGGAAAUUCGACCCCAGAUUGAAUAGAAGGAUAGUGCGAAUGGUAGAAAAAGAACCAAGGAUAACUGCCAAAGAGAUACAAGCUGAACUCCAAGGUGAAGGUACGUCAGUUUCUGAUCGCACCAUCCGUCGCUUUUGGUGGUGGUUGGCAGGGACAGGGUUAAUUCCUGUCCCUGCCAAAAACAUGUGAGAAUGUGGCUGUUCCCAAACAAGAUAAUUGGUGUAAAUUGGGAACAGCCACAUACUAUAAAAAGAGAGCUUCCAGCUCCAUUAGAUGAGAGAUCACCAGGGAGCUGGGCCCUGUUUCAGAAAGCAGGUUUAACAAACUCUGAGUUCAAACCUGAACUCUGGGUUGAUUAACUCUGAGUUGUCAAACUCAGAGUUUUCGGUUUCAGAACAGGUGAUAACAAUGAGUUGAAUCAACUCUGAGUUAAGUUAACCCUGAGUAAAGCCCGUGCAUGAAGAGAUAAAAAGUCCUCAUCAAAGGAACCCAGAUAACUUGAUUUGUCAUGGCAACAGGAGAAAAAAGGGCUCGAACCUCCUACUUCUCCCCAGUGGAGAUAGAAAUAUUAAUAAAUGCGUAUGCAGAAUACAAAUAUAUAUUUAAGAAAAAAAGCAAUACUGUAGCAGCAGCAAAAGAAUGUGACUUGGCGUGGGAGAAAAUUGCUGACCAAGUCAAUGCGUGAGUAUUAAUUGAAAAAAAAGAAAAGUUUUAUCUCGAGUGUUCCACUUAUUCAACAAUAAUAUAAAUAUAUAUAUAUAUAUGUGUAUAUAUAUGUGUAUAUAUAUAUGUAUAUAUGUGUGUGUGCGCGUGUUUAAUAUUUAUGCAGGUGCAACCCAACUGGCACAAAAUGUACUUGGCAGCAACUGAAGAUUAAAUAUAAAAAUAUACUUCAAACAGGUAAGGUAUAAUUUCAUUACAAGCAAUUGUGAUGUUGUUUAGCCUACCCUAUCUAAUUAAACCACAUUCAGUGGUUACAUUCAACAUGUGAUAUAUUUAAGUAGUUAGUGAAAUUUUCUAAGCAAAAAAAAAAGUAAAUUUUUCAGCCAUCCCAACACUGCCAGUAUUUAAUAUUGUCUAUUUGAAAGUAACACCUAAAUGCCUUUAUACAUACAAGUCUCCAAAUUUGUGCUUACUGGACUUCAAAUUUGACCUCCAUUAUAGCCAAUAGAAAAAAGGCUGGAGGAAGCUCAUCUGACCCAACCACCCCCCAGGACACAAGGGCCUACAUAAGAGUUACUGAUGGUGUAAUCUGUCUGGUGGAGCCUUCUGCCAUAACAGACCUCCAUGCAGUUGGGGAUGAUGAUGAAGACACUUUGUCAGCUGCCACAGAGAGGGAAGAUACAGAGAGACCUAUUGAGGUUCACACCUUAAAAAUAACAUCUAACAGUUGAUACUGUUGUACCAUAAUAAAACUUGCACAUUCUUUUUCUCUAAAAGCGAAAAAGAUGCUGGAAAUUACAAUGAGGAAGAGGGUCCAUCCACCUCCACAGCACAACUUACCUCAGUAAGAUGUUGUUCAGCAUUGGCCCAUGACUUACAAUGAAACUAAGUAGACCUGGCACUGUGAAAUUCAAUGUCAUUUUUUUGUGUUCCUAUAGCUCCCUGUGAAACAGCUGUACAAGGUGUACUUAAAUAAACAAAUUGAAAAAUGUAAUUUAGAAAUGGACCACAUAAGGCUGCAGAUGUGAAAGGCAAAACUAGAAAUACAACUGCUGGAACAUCAGUUAAAGGUGGGUGAGAUGCCCACAGGUGGAUGAUUUUACUUGUUUGAACAACAUAAAAAAUAUUAACUACUGUACUGCAUUUGUACUUGCAGUAAAUAAAGAAGACUUAAUAAAAAGAAAGGCAUAUUGUCUUUAUUUGACACUGGGGAGGUGAUGGGUCAAUCAGAAAUGAAGGUAGCAUAUUGUGUCUCUGACUGCUCUUCCAUCUCAUGCGUCAGCAGGGUGGUCAGGAUCAUUAUCAGGGUCGUUCACUGGUUGAGUAGGACAUUGUUCUCCUCUAAUUGUGGCAAUGUUGUGGAGAAUCACACAUGCCACAAUAAUGUCACAUGCCCUUUCUGGGGUGACCCUGAGCCUACGAAGGCACUGGAACCGGGCCUUGAGCAUCCCACUGGUCAUCUCUACCCUGGCUCGUGUCCUGCAGUGAGCCAAGUUAUAACGUUGCUGCGGGCCGGGCUCAGUAUCAGGGUAAGGGGUCAGCAAAUAGGGCUGGCAGUGGUACCCUCUAUCACCGAGCAGGUAACCAUCGAACUCUCCUAUGAUAAUACGAGGAUACAGUUUAAAUUUUCAGUUGCAAUAGGAGGAAACAAAAUAUUGAUUAUAAUAGGAUAUAGCUAUAUAUAUAAACUCACCACGGGCAAAUCUAGCGCUCAGUGUACACUCACGAAACAUUCGCGAGUCAUGCACAGACCCAGGCCACUUUGCUUCCACGUUGCUGAUGAUGUGGGCUGCAUCACAUAUGAUCUUCACAGUGCAGUACAGUAAUUAGCUGCAGUAGCUGUAUUGUGAAGUAUCUUUCAUUUGGAAUGCUAAAGGCUACUAUUUAGGCCUACCUGCACAUUAAUACUGUGGAAAGACUUCCUAUUCACAUAAUCUCCUUCAUUUACUGAAGGAGCUGUGAUAGGAAUAUGAGUGCCACCUAUGCAGCCAAUCACACCUGG